GCCCCCCUUCCCUUAGGCUUAGUGCUGGGCUAGGAACAUAAGCGGGGACCUCGACGGCGGCGCGCAAGAGGUGCUCGAGGAAAUGCCCGUGCGAGCCCGGCGCUCUCUGGAGGCAGCAGGAACAUGCUCGUGACGCUCGGGUUCCGGCGUGCCGCCGUGCCCCGCCUAGCGCGCCGCGACAUGUGUGGUGCGGCGGCUCGGCGCACCACAGCGUCGGGUUUGGUGGCGGUGGCCGGGGGCGGAGCGAGCUUCCACGACUACGACGCCGCCAUCACGGCGUGCGUCGAGAGGCGGGCGCUCAAGCAAGGAAGGCAGGUGCACGCGCACAUGGUCACGGCGAGGUACCGCCCGCCCGUGUACCUGGCCACGCGGCUGGUCAUCAUGUACGCGAGGUGCGGCGCGCUGGACGACGCGCGCAACGUGCUCGACGGGAUGCCGGAACGGAAUGUGGUGUCCUGGACGGCCAUGAUCUCGGGGUAUUCGCAGAGCAGCCGGCACGCCGAGGCGUUGGAGCUAUUCACCCGGAUGCUUAGAGCUGGAUGCAAGCCUAAUGAAUUCACUUUCGCAACUGUUCUUACAUCAUGUUCUGGCCCUCAAAGCAUACACCAGGUCAAGCAAGUCCAUUCUCUUGUUGCCAAAACAAAUUUUGAGUCGCACAUGUUUGUUGGGAGCUCCCUUCUUGACAUGUACGCCAAGGCAGGGAAUAUCCAAGAAGCUCGGAGGGUGUUCGACAUGCUUCCAGAAAGAGACACUGUUUCCUGUACCGCCAUUAUAUCUGGCUAUGCUCAGCUGGGCCUUGAUGAUGAAGCCUUGGACUUGUUCAGGCAGUUGUACAGUGCAGGGAUGCAAUGCAAUUAUGUUACUUUUACGACCCUUCUCACUUCAUUAUCUGGGCUGGCCUCCCUGGAUUAUGGCAAGCAAGUUCAUGGACUAAUACUUCGUAAAGAGUUACCAUUUUUCGUUGUUCUACAGAAUUCUUUGAUUGAUAUGUACUCCAAGUGCGGCAAGUUGUUAUACUCAAGGAGGGUAUUUGAUCACAUGCCACAGAGAUCAACCAUCAGUUGGAAUGCAAUGCUUAUGGGAUAUGGUAGACAUGGCAUAGGGCAUGAAGUUGUUCAGCUCUUUAGAACUAUGACUGAAGAAGUGAAGCCUGACAGCGUUACCCUGUUGGCUGUUUUAUCUGGUUGUAGUCACGGUGGGCUGGUUGAUGAGGGCCUUGACAUAUUCGAUCUUAUAGUAAAAGAACAAAAUGCAGUUCUCAGCAUUGGGCAUUAUGGGUGUGUUAUUGAUCUUCUUGGACGCUCUGGACGACUACAGAAGGCUUUAGAUUUGAUACAGGAUAUGCCAUUUGAGCCGACUCCAGCAAUUUGGGGUUCAUUGCUUGGUGCUUGCAGAGUUCAUGUUAACGUUAGUGUUGGUGAGGUUGUUGCUCAGAAACUUCUGGACAUGGAGCCAGGAAAUGCUGGAAACUAUGUGAUCCUUUCUAACAUUUAUGCUGCUGCUGGAAUGUGGAAAGAUGUUUUCAGAGUUAGGAACUUAAUGCUGGAGAAGACGGUGACCAAGGAACCAGGGCAGAGCUGGAUAAUUCUUGACAAGGUUAUCCACACCUUCCGCUCAAGUGAUCGUUUCCAUCCCAGGAAGAAAGAUAUAGAUGCUAAGAUAAAGGAGAUAUAUGUUGAUAUUAAAGCAGCUGGCUUUGUUCCGAACCUGAGCUGUGUUCUGCAUGAUGUUGACGAUGAGCAGAAAGAACGCAUGCUUCUUGGUCACAGUGAGAAGCUGGCAGUAACUUUUGGACUGAUGAACACCCCUCCAGGCUUGACUAUCCGGGUUAUGAAGAAUCUUCGUAUCUGUGUUGACUGCCAUAAUUUUGCGAAGUUUGUUUCAAAAAUUUAUGGAAGGGAGAUAUCUCUCAGGGAUAAAAAUCGAUUUCAUCUACUUACAGAUGGAGCUUGCACUUGUGGAGACUACUGGUGAAAGAAACAUUGAUGUGUUACCAUAUAGCUUUGCUGAUCAGCAGAGCUAUUUUUGUCCAGGUAAUACUGCUUACAGGAUAAGCAAUGUAAUGCUGAAUAUGAGAGCAGUGAAAGAUAAAUGCUCUGUUCAUUCGAGUUCAGUUAUCAGAGAGAUUACCAAAGAUUUGCUACGAAGAGCCACAGUUGGUUCUUCUUAGCACUCCAUACUUGAAGCUUGCACCCUCUUUCUCUCAAUUAUCAUUGAUCGUUGCACCAAGGGCAAUUCAGAGGUUUAGGUUGUAUCAUGGGUUCAUAUGGCAGGUCCCACAAAAAAGAUGUACUAAGGAAGCUUGCACUCUCUCUCAAUUAUCAUUGGUCAUUGCGCCAAGGGCAAUUCAGAGUUUUAGGUUGUGUCAUGGGCUCAUAUGGCAGGUCCCACCAAAAAGACGUACUAAGGCCAUACUCAGGCGGAACAGUGAGGCAUCACCAUUGGCCACGGGCAGGGAGAGAAGGCGGGUCAACAGCGGAGUUUCAGGAGGGCAUUGAUUCCCUGCGGUUAGGAGGCAGGGAGGACGGAGAAGGGCUGGGGCACGCCGAGCAGCUCCUGAGGAGAAAUGGAGGCCUAUCACUGUUUUGUUUUGACAUUAUAUACUGUAAUAAACUUGAAGCUCUGCCCAUCAUACUAUGCAGACUGCAGUGUGUUCUCUUGCACUGUCUGAAGUACAAAAUAAAAAAGGGCAACUAGAGGUUUUACUUCUCUUCAACAAGGAGGCCGGCCUGUGGUUGGGCCUCGGCGCGUUUCCUCAUUCAUUCUUUGACCGCUAGAGGAAGCUUGCGCUCUCUCAAUUAUCACUGGUCGUUGCGCCAAGGGCACUUCAGAGUUUUAGGUUGCAUCAUGGUCUCAUAUGGCAGGUCCCACAAAAAAAGACGUACUAAGGCCAUACUCAGGCGGAACAGCGAGGCAUCACCAUCGGCCACGGGCAGGGAGGGAAGGGGGCAGGUCAACAGCGGAGUUUGAGGAGGGCGUUGAUUAGGAGGCGGAGAGGAAGGAGGAGGGCUGGGGCACGCCGAGCAGGCCCUGAGGAGAACAUGAUUAUCGUUGAACUGAAACCAGGACAACAAUUAUGGAACGGAGGGAGUAGUAUUUUGUUUUGACAUGAUAUUGUAAUAAACUUGUUGCUUUGUGCAUCAUAGAAUGCAGAUUGCAGAUUCUUUUCUUCCACUGUCUAAAGUUGCAUACAAAACAAAAGGAGGGCAGCUAGAGGUUGUACUUCUCUCCAACAAGGUCGGCCUGUGGUUGGGCCUCGGCCCUUUCCUCAUUCAUUCUCUGGCCGCUAAAGGUAAUUCCUUCACACACGCUAAAGAAAUGUGCUGUAAUUCCUAUACACCUCACCUUUGGUAGUGUUUAGAGAUACUGGAAGAGACAUCUGCCAUGGAA